AACGGGUGAGUAACACGUGAGUAACCUGCCCUUAACUCUGGGAUAAGCCUGGGAAACUGGGUCUAAUACCGGAUAUGACUCCUCAUCGCAUGGUGGGGGGUGGAAAGCUUUAUUGUGGUUUUGGAUGGACUCGCGGCCUAUCAGCUUGUUGGUGAGGUAAUGGCUCACCAAGGCGACGACGGGUAGCCGGCCUGAGAGGGUGACCGGCCACACUGGGACUGAGACACGGCCCAGACUCCUACGGGAGGCAGCAGUGGGGAAUAUUGCACAAUGGGCGAAAGCCUGAUGCAGCGACGCCGCGUGAGGGAUGACGGCCUUCGGGUUGUAAACCUCUUUCAGUAGGGAAGAAGCGAAAGUGACGGUACCUGCAGAAGAAGCGCCGGCUAACUACGUGCCAGCAGCCGCGGUAAUACGUAGGGCGCAAGCGUUAUCCGGAAUUAUUGGGCGUAAAGAGCUCGUAGGCGGUUUGUCGCGUCUGCCGUGAAAGUCCGGGGCUCAACUCCGGAUCUGCGGUGGGUACGGGCAGACUAGAGUGAUGUAGGGGAGACUGGAAUUCCUGGUGUAGCGGUGAAAUGCGCAGAUAUCAGGAGGAACACCGAUGGCGAAGGCAGGUCUCUGGGCAUUAACUGACGCUGAGGAGCGAAAGCAUGGGGAGCGAACAGGAUUAGAUACCCUGGUAGUCCAUGCCGUAAACGUUGGGCACUAGGUGUGGGGGACAUUCCACGUUUUCCGCGCCGUAGCUAACGCAUUAAGUGCCCCGCCUGGGGAGUACGGCCGCAAGGCUAAAACUCAAAGGAAUUGACGGGGGCCCGCACAAGCGGCGGAGCAUGCGGAUUAAUUCGAUGCAACGCGAAGAACCUUACCAAGGCUUGACAUGAACCGGAAAUACCUGGAAACAGGUGCCCCGCUUGCGGUCGGUUUACAGGUGGUGCAUGGUUGUCGUCAGCUCGUGUCGUGAGAUGUUGGGUUAAGUCCCGCAACGAGCGCAACCCUCGUUCUAUGUUGCCAGCGCGUUAUGGCGGGGACUCAUAGGAGACUGCCGGGGUCAACUCGGAGGAAGGUGGGGACGACGUCAAAUCAUCAUGCCCCUUAUGUCUUGGGCUUCACGCAUGCUACAAUGGCCGGUACAAAGGGUUGCGAUACUGUGAGGUGGAGCUAAUCCCAAAAAGCCGGUCUCAGUUCGGAUUGGGGUCUGCAACUCGACCCCAUGAAGUCGGAGUCGCUAGUAAUCGCAGAUCAGCAACGCUGCGGUGAAUACGUUCCCGGGCCUUGUACACACCGCCCGUCAAGUCACGAAAGUUGGUAACACCCGAAGCCGGUGGCCUAACCCC
rnacentral:rRNA from 1 species